ACGGUCCUACGGGGGGCAGCAGUGGGGAAUAUUGCACAAUGGGCGCAAGCCUGAUGCAGCGACGCCGCGUGCGGGAUGGAGGCCUUCGGGUUGUAAACCGCUUUUGUUCAAGGGCAAGGCACGGUCUUUGGCCGUGUUGAGUGGAUUGUUCGGAUAAGCACCGGCUAACUACGUGCCAGCAGCCGCGGUAAUACGUAGGGUGCAAGCGUUAUCCGGAUUUAUUGGGCGUAAAGGGCUCGUAGGCGGGUCGUCGCGUCCGGGGUGAAAGGCCAUCGCUUAACGGGGGAUCC
rnacentral:rRNA from 1 species